rnacentral:rRNA from 1 species
UACGGAGGGUGCAAGCGUUAUCCGGAUUCACUGGGUUUAAAGGGUGCGUAGGUGGGCAGGUAAGUCAGUGGUGAAAUCUCCGGGCUUAACCCGGAAACUGCCGUUGAUACUAUCAGUCUUGAAUAUUGUGGAGGUAAGCGGAAUAUGUCAUGUAGCGGUGAAAUGCUUAGAUAUGACAUAGAACACCGAUAGCGAAGGCAGCUUGCUACACAAUUAUUGACACUGAGGCUCGAAAGCGUGGGGAUCAAACAGG